rnacentral:misc_RNA from 1 species
GCUGAAGAACGUAGCGAAAUGCGAUAAGUAAUGUGAAUUGCAGAAUUCAGUGAAUCAUCGAAUCUUUGAACGCACAUUGCGCCCGCCAGUAUUCUGGCGGGCAUGCCUGUUCGAGCGUCAUUUCAACCAUCAAGCCCCAGGCUUGUGUUGGGGACCUGCGGCUGCCGCAGGCCCUGAAAACCAGUGGCGGGCUCGCUGUCACACCGGGCGUAGUAGAUUUUAUCUCGCUCAGGGCGUGCUGCGGGUUCCGGCCGUUAAAAAGCCUUUUUUACCCAAGGUUGACCUCGGAUCAGGUAGGAAGACCCGCUGAACUUAAGCAUAUCAAUAAGCGGAGGA